UAAGGAAUAUUGGACAAUGGGCGCAAGCCUGAUCCAGCCAUUCCGCGUGUAGGAUGACGGCCCUCUGGGUUGUAAACUACUUUUAUUUGGGAAGAAACCCUGGGAUUUAUCCCGGGCUGACGGUACCAAAAGAAUAAGCACCGGCUAAUUCCGUGCCAGCAGCCGCGGUAAUACGGAAGGUGCAAGCGUUAUCCGGAAUCACUGGGUUUAAAGGGUGCGUAGGCGGUUGCGUAAGUCAGAAGUGAAAGCUCACAGCUUAACUGUGGAAUUGCUUUUGAUACUGCGCGACUAGAAUCAGGUUGAGGUUGGCGGAAUGUGACAUGUAGCGGUGAAAUGCAUAGAUAUGUCAUAGAACACCAAUUGCGAAGGCAGCUGACUGGACCUGCAUUGACGCUGAGGCACGAAAGCGUGGGGAGCGAACAGG
rnacentral:rRNA from 1 species